UUUCAGACGUUUCUGAUUUUCGUCAUUGCGGUUGUGUAAAACCGUGACAUUUUUACAGGUGGCUUGGUUAUAUCGAAGUGCAAUCCUGUAAAUCUGUCAUAAUAUUCUGAAAAAUAUUCUUAAAGAAAUACUGUGGAUAAGUUUAGUGAAAAAAGCAAAAUGUAAGAAUUUUCUUUAAAUAGAAGAAACUAGGAACUCAUAUAAUGAAGAGAAUUUAAAUUUUACGCUUUUUUCGUGGCCUACUUUGUUCACUUUAUACAUAUUUGAUAUUCAUACUUUCCCGAAAAUAAAUGCCCCCACAAUAAAUGUACAGUAUUUUAUGUGGAUGAUUUAUUUUACCAAGUAUUGUAUUUGAAGGAAGCUUUUCCCUAAGUCUGUACAUUUUAUUGACUGAAUUCAUACCAUUUACUGAGCGAGAUAUGUCACUUAAUACUUUCAUUAUACUUGUAGUAUAUAAAUAUAUAUGAGCCUAAAGUUUUUCCUCUGCCUUUAAUUCUUUCAAAUUGUUUGAAUAUAUAAUACCGAUUCACAUAUAAUAUAAACCUGUACGCCCGGCACAUAGUUUUUUUGCACGUUAAAUAUCGUCUGCUAUUUCUAAUGGCGGAAGGGAUGUUCAGAAAAUAAGUAACAGUUUAAAUAGCAAUAGCAUAAUCAAAAUUUGAAUUUACUUCCCAAAACUCAGUAGUACUAAUAUUUUCAAUGAGGCAAUACUUUUUUCGAAGAAGAGCAGAGUAAUUCGAGUAAUCAUGGAUCUGUUUGUGACCACGUUUGCCCUAGUGGAUAAUGCGCAUCAUCAGAAACGCCGCACAUUGCGCUCUGAAGAUGUUAUUGCUUCUGUGAAACAGAGUAUCGAAGAAGACCCAUAUGAGUCCAUCCGAAGAAGAUUCAGGAUAUUUUCUAUCGUACUUUUGCCGUAAUUUAAUAGGAAAGUAAAAAUUAACUGUAAAUUAUCCUUUGAGUCCAACUUUUUGUAAGAACAAACAAUUAAAUUGGAUAUAGAAAAAACAUAUGGGCUUUGAAGUUGGGAAAAAAACAUCAAUUAUUUCGGAGCCAGCAUAAGCUCUGACACACCGAAAACUAUAUAAGCCUCAUAACAUAUAAUUUGUGAAAGCAUUAUUAACUUUUAUGCCUUGGCAUUGGCGAACGGAUAUGUUCGAAUGAAUGGUUCACUAUGAUGCAUUUGUAAUUAAUACAUAGCUAAUAAUGGGAAAAGCUUGAGAGACUUAGUGAAAUUCAUCGCAUAUCCAAUACCUAACCUAUUUGAAGCUAUUUUCGCAGACCAAAUAACUUUUUCGGUUCCUCCAAUAAUUUCUUGUUGUCAUCAUGGAUUUCGUAAAGAGAAAUCUACUUUACCAAGUUUGCUUGAAUUUGUGAACCAUGUAUAAUGUUUUAAGGAACAUAAGCAUAGGGAUGUUAUAUACCAUAUACUGACCUUAGCAAAGCUUUCGGUAAUGUUAAACUCUUGCCUCUCUUAGAUAAACUUGAUACUCUUGUUUUUCAGCCAAGAUUUCGUCAAGGGGUAUUUUCUUAUCUUUGAAUUAGAACAUAACUAGGGAUACUUAAUGGUCUUCGUUCAGAUGCAAAUAAUGUCUCUUCAGCAUCUUGGCCAGAUUCUGUUCUUGUUAUUUAUUAACGAUAUCUCUUCUGUAAUAAAGUACUCAAAAAUUUGUAAAAAAUUAAACUUUAACUUUGUUGAUUUGGGUAUUACUAUGGAAUCUAAAAGUACGUUUAUAUAUAAUAUUAAAAUAAUCUCGUUCUAAGCUGGUUCAACAAUCUAACCGUUUACAUAGCCAAAGGAGAUUAUCAACUGUCAAAUGUGUUGUAUUUGUUUUCUUCUUGGUGAAGUUAUUAUUACUUAAAUAUUCAAAAAAGCGCUGAAACCAAAAAAAAAAAAAGAUAAAAUUAUACAUUUUAAAGAUAUGGGAAAAAAAGAAGGCGAUUGUAUACUUAAUUGCGCCGAUUACUGCCACAAAUAAGAAGUAGGCAGAAAUACGGAAAACACGACAACUCGGAUUGAAAAAAAUAGUAACAGGUAUACACAUGCAAAAUGCGUUAUUGCAUUUUGUAUUAAAUGAUAAUAGACCGAAAAGUUUGUGGAAACACAUAAGCAAUUACAUCACUUUUUAUUAAAUUCUUACAACAAGUUAACGGCUUGAUGUUGUGUAAGGUAAGGUAAUUUUUCGACGUUGCUUUCAAUAAUGACCAAUUUUUCAAGAAAAGUUUCAGGGUGAGUCGGGAAUUCUUCACAAUUUUGUUUAAUGAGCUAAACAACAUUGGCAAACGAAAUACUAAAUAAAAGCAAUGUAUUCCUUUAGAAAAAAGAAUAGCUAUCGCUUUGUACGCCCUUGGUUCUUCUGCUGAUUACAGAACAGUUGGAAGACUAUUUGGGGUUUCCAAAGCGCCUUAUUCUUAAAGACUUGCCGAGAGGUGUGGGACAUACUCUCGUCUAAAUAUUUAACUAGUUCGUUUCUCACGCAAGGAAAAUUACGGAGUGCGUUGAAGGAUUUAAAAAAAAUUGGAUUUCCUCAAUGUCAUAACAUGCAAAUACAAUUCAUUUCCGGUGGAUGCCAUAUUGAGAUUAGGCCCUCCGCAUCUGUGCUCUAUUUCUGCUGUUGACUAUUUCAACUACAAGGGUUGGUACUCAAUGGUUUUACUAGCCCACGUAGACUACAGAUAUAGCUUCAUAUAUUGUACAUUAAUGUUGGAGCGCCUGGUCGUUGUAAUGAUUCUCAAAUAUUCGACUUGAAAAGAAUUUUGUAAAACGCUCUGCUUAAAGAGAAUGCAAUAAAACAUUAAGGUGUCCACUGUAGUUCUUGGGGACUCAGCAUUUCGCUUUACUCCGUUUCUAAUGAAGCCCUCCCCCUAUAAUCCAGCCGCUGAGGAUCACGAGAAUAUUUUCAAUUACCACUUAUCUAAAUCUCGAAGGAUUGUUGAGAACGAGAUGGUCAAAUCAUCUGAAAGCAAGGUUUGGAAGGAUAGGGAAAGGAAUCGACAACGAUAUUAAAAACGCAAUAACAAUAAUAAAAUUUUCUUGUGUCUUGCACAAUUUUAAAUUUUUUAUAUGAAAUGAAUGACAGCAUAAACACGAAAUGGUUACAAGUGCAAACAAAUUUCGAAAGCGCUUGCCCACGAGGGCAACCUGAUUCAUUACUCAUUUCUAGAACCGACGACACUAAUGCAGAGAGCAUCAUAAAAUCAAUAACUCUAUUUCUAUGUUUCUCGUCUGCAUCCUUUGGAAGCGGCAAUUAUUCCUGGGAAUCUAAUAUAAUCAGCGAAGAGCUAUUAAACGAUGAUUCAUAAUCUUCUUCAACUUCGUGAACUGUAAUAAAUUAGUUUAUAAAAAUAAAUACAAACUUUUCGAA